rnacentral:rRNA from 1 species
GACGAACGCUGGCGGCGUGCUUAACACAUGCAAGUCGAACGAAGUGGCGGACGGGUGAGUAACGCGUAAGCAACCUGCCCUUCAGGGGGGGACAACAGUUGGAAACGACUGCUACUACCGCAUACUGAAGGAGGGGAUUGCGUUGGAUUAGCUAGUUGGGGGGGUAACGGCCCACCAAGGCGAUGAGCAGUAGCCGGUCGUGGAGGAUGAACGGCCACAAUGGGCCUGAGAACCGGCCCAGAAUCCCACGGGAGGCAGACGUGGGGAAUCUUCCGCAAUGGACGAAAGUCUGAAGGAGCAACGCCGCGUGAGUGAUGACGGCCUUUGGGUUGUAAAGCUACGUUAAUCGGGACGCGGUACCGGAAUAGAAAGCCACGGCUAACUACGUGCCAGCAGCCGCGGUAAUAC